AUGCUACUCCUUCCGUCCGAAAAAACUUGCUGGAGAAAUGGAUAAAAAUGAAUGUAUCUAAAAUUAAAAUAUGAAUAGAUACAUCCAUUGCUCCGACAAGUAUUUCCGGACGGAGCGAGUACUAU
rfam:Triticum aestivum genome assembly, contig: Triticum_aestivum_CS42_TGACv1_scaffold_193977_3AL